GGCGACGUAGCUCAGAUGGUCAGAGCAUGCGNNCAGUGUCCGGGGUUCAAUUCCCUGCGUCGCUACCA
rnacentral:tRNA from 1 species